rnacentral:rRNA from 1 species
AGAUUGAACGCUGGCGGCAUGCCUAACACAUGCAAGUCGAACGGGAGUAGCAACACUCUAGUGGCGGACGGGUGAGGAAUACGUAGGAAUUUGCCCUUAAGUGGGGGAUAACCCGGGGAAACCCGGAUUAAUACCGCAUGACCUCGAAAGAGCAAAGUGGGGGAUCGCAAGACCUCACGCUUUUGGAGAAGCCUACGUCGGAUUAGCUAGUUGGUGAGGUAAAGGCUCACCAAGGCGACGAUCCUUAGCUGGUCUGAGAGGAUGAUCAGCCACACUGGGACUGAGACACGGCCCAGACUCCUACGGGAGGCAGCAGUGGGGAAUAUUGGACAAUGGGCGAAAGCCUAGAUCCAGCAAUGCCGCGUGAGUGAUGAAGGCCUUAGGGUUGUAAAGCUUCUUUACCGGAUGAUAAUGACAGUACCGGAGAAUAAGCUCCGGCUAACUCCGUGCCAGCAGCCGAC